GUGCUCGCUUCGGCAGCACAUAUACUAAAAUUGGAACGAUACAGAGAAGAUUAGCAUGGCCCCUGCACAUGGAUGGAUGAAAAAAUCUUCCAGGCAAAGGGAACAGUA